AUGAAGGAAAUUCAGAGGCAAGUAGAAGAUCUUCUUAACAGAGGGUAUGUAAGGGAAAGUCUUUCUCCUUGUGUUGUUCCCAUACUUUUAGUUCCAAAGAAAGAUGGUACCAUGCGCAUGUGCACUGAUUGUAGAUCCGUUAACAACAUAAUUGUGAGAUAUCAGCACCCUAUUCCUAGGCUUGAUGACAUGCUUGAUGAACUUUGUGACUCCACCAUAUUUUCCAAAAUUGAUUUGCGAAGUGGUUACCACAAAAUAAGAAUGAAAGAGGGUGACGAAUGGAAAACUACAUUUAAGACAAAAUUUGGCUUGUAUGAAUGGUUGGUUAUGCCUUUUGGAUUAACAAAUGCACAUAGUACUUUCAUGAGAUUGAUGAAUCAUGUGCUUAGAUCCUUCAUUGGCAAGUUUGUCGUGGUGUACUUUGAUGACAUAUUGAUUUAUAGCAAAACUUAG
rnacentral:rRNA from 1 species